GCCCUAAAGCAAACUCUUAGCGCAGUAGGCAGCGCAUCAGUCUCAUAAUCUGAAGGUCCUGAGUUCGAUCCUCAGAGAAGGCA